GACGAACGCUGGCGGCGUGCUUAACACAUGCAAGUCGAACGAAAAGAGGGAAAGAGCUUGCUCUUUCCGGAAUUGAGUGGCAAACGGGUGAGUAACACGUAAACAACCUGCCUUCAGGAUGGGGACAACAGACGGAAACGACUGCUAAUACCGAAUAAGUUCCAAGGGCCGCAUGGCCCAUGGAAGAAAAGGUGGCCUCUACCUGUAAGCUAUCGCCUGAAGAGGGGUUUGCGUCUGAUUAGCUGGUUGGGGGGGUAACGGCCCACCAAGGCGACGAUCAGUAGCCGGCCUGAGAGGAUGGACGGCCACACUGGAACUGGGGCACGGUCCAGACUCCUACGGGAGGCAGCAGUGGGGAAUCUUCCGCAAUGGGCGAAAGCCUGACGGAGCAACGCCGCGUGAGUGAUGACGGCCUUCGGGUUGUAAAACUCUGUGAUCCGGGACGAAAAGGCAGAGUGCGAAGAACAAACUGCAUUGACGGUACCGGAAAAGCAAGCCACGGCUAACUACGUG
rnacentral:rRNA from 1 species